UUUUCCUACGGGACGCAGCAGUCGGGAAUAUUGCGCAAUGGAGGAAACUCUGACGCAGUGACGCCGCGUGCAGGAAGAAGGUUUUCGGAUUGUAAACUGCUUUAGACAGGGAAGAAACAAGACAGUACCUGUAGAAUAAGCUCCGGCUAACUACGUGCCAGCAGCCGCGGUAAUACGUAGGGAGCAAGCGUUAUCCGGAUUUAUUGGGUGUAAAGGGUGCGUAGACGGGAAAUUAAGUUAGUUGUGAAAUCCCUCGGCUCAACUGAGGAACUGCAACUAAAACUGAUUUUCUUAAGU
rnacentral:rRNA from 1 species